UUCCUGACAGUGGGUGUGGUUUUCCCACGCUGGCACCUUAAAUGACAAGGUUACCCUUACUCUGCCUCUUUUGCGACUUAUCAGAGGCAGAGGAGUGUGACGCGCCUGGCUCGCUCCGUGCCUGAUUUUGUUUUCUUCCCUGUGUUUUGUCAGAAAUAAAAUUCUUAAAAUCAGGUCCUUUGUGGCG